UUUCUACUCCCUCAGUCCAAAAAUUCUUGUCUUAGAUUUUUCCAAAUACGGAUGUAUCUAGUUACGUUUUAGUGUUAGAUGCAUCCGUAUCUAGACAAAUCUAAGACAAGAAUUUUGGGACGGAGGGAGUAUUAA
rfam:Triticum aestivum genome assembly, contig: Triticum_aestivum_CS42_TGACv1_scaffold_514339_6BS